rnacentral:rRNA from 1 species
AUUGAACGCUGGCGGCAGGCCUAACACAUGCAAGUCGAACGGUAACAGGAAACAGCUUGCUGUUUCGCUGACGAGUGGCGGCCGGGUGAGUAAUGUCUGGGAAACUGCCUGAUGGAGGGGGAUAACUACUGGAAACGGUAGCUAAUACCGCAUAACGUCGCAAGACCAAAGAGGGGGACCUUCGGGCCUCUUGCCAUCGGAUGUGCCCAGAUGGGAUUAGCUUGUUGGUGGGGUAACGGCUCACCAAGGCGACGAUCCCUAGCUGGUCUGAGAGGAUGACCAGCCACACUGGAACUGAGACACGGUCCAGACUCCUACGGGAGGCAGCAGUGGGGAAUAUUGCACAAUGGGCGCAAGCCUGAUGCAGCCAUGCCGCGUGUAUGAAGAAGGCCUUCGGGUUGUAAAGUACUUUCAGCGGGGAGGAAGGGAGUAAAGUUAAUACCUUUGCUCAUUGACGUUACCCGCAGAAGAAGCACCGGCUAACUCCGUG